rnacentral:rRNA from 1 species
ACCAGACUCCUACGGGAGGCAGCAGUGGGGGAUAUUGCACAAUGGGGGGAACCCUGAUGCAGCGACGCCGCGUGGGUGAAGAAGCGCCUCGGCGCGUAAAGCCCUGUCAGCAGGGAAGAAAAUGACGGUACCUGAAGAAGAAGCCCCGGCUAACUACGUGCCAGCAGCCGCGGUAAUACGUAGGGGGCAAGCGUUAUCCGGAUUUACUGGGUGUAAAGGGGGCGCAGACGGCGAUGCAAGCCAGGAGUGAAAGCCCGGGGCCCAACCCCGGGACUGCUCUUGGAACUGCGUGGCUGGAGUGCAGGAGGGGCAGGCGGAAUUCCUGGUGUAGCGGUGAAAUGCGUAGAUAUCAGGAGGAACACCGGCGGCGAAGGCGGCCUGCUGGACCGUGACUGACGUUGAGGCUCGAGAGCGUGGGGAGCAAACAGGAUUAGAUACCCCAGUAA